rnacentral:pre_miRNA from 3 species
UCUUAUGGAUGAGCAAAGAAAGAAGUUUCUUGAGAUGGAAUCUACUUCUGAUAAAGAUACUGUGAA